rnacentral:rRNA from 1 species
GAAUCUUACAAACCUCAUUAACCGUGCAAGUCGAACGGUGAAGCAGAGCUUGCUCUGUGGAUCAGUGGCGAACGGGUGAGUAACACGUGAGCAACCUGCCCCAGACUCUGGGAUAACAGUUGGAAACAGCUGCUAAUACCGGAUACGAGACGUGAAGGCAUCUUCAACGUUUGGAAAGAAUUUCGGUCUGGGAUGGGCUCGCGGCCUAUCAGCUUGUUGGUGAGGUAAUGGCUCACCAAGGCGUCGACGGGUAGCCGGCCUGAGAGGGUGACCGGCCACACUGGGACUGAGACACGGCCCAGACUCCUACGGGAGGCAGCAGUGGGGAAUAUUGCACAAUGGGCGCAAGCCUGAUGCAGCAACGCCGCGUGAGGGAUGACGGCCUUCGGGUUGUAAACCUCUUUUAGCAGGGAAGAAGCGAAAGUGACGGUACCUGCAGAAAAAGCACCGGCUAACUACGUGCCAGCAGCCGCGGUAAUACGUAGGGUGCAAGCGUUAUCCGGAAUUAUUGGGCGUAAAGAGCUCGUAGGCGGUUUGUCGCGUCUGCUGUGAAAACCCGAGGCUCAACCUCGGGCCUGCAGUGGGUACGGGCAGACUAGAGUGCGGUAGGGGAGAUUGGAAUUCCUGGUGUAGCGGUGGAAUGCGCAGAUAUCAGGAGGAACACCGAUGGCGAAAGGCAGAUCUCUGGGCCGUAACUGACGCUGAGGAGCGAAAGGGUGGGGGAGCAAACAGGCUUAGAUACCCUGGUAGUCCACCCCGUAAACGUUGGGAACUAGUGUGGGGGUCCAUUCCACGGAUUCCGUGACGCAGCUAACGCAUUAAGUUUCCUCCGCCUGGGGGAGUACGGCCGGAAGGCUAAACUCAAAGGAUUGACGGGGAACUCGCACAGCCGGCGGAGCAUGCGGAAUAGCCGAUGCACGCGAAGACCCUGACGAGGGUGACGUGGGGGG